rnacentral:snoRNA from 1 species
AGACCAUGAUGUGGCCAUUUCCUUAAUUACUCCUUGAACUUUUCCCAUGUCUUGUACAAAGAUUCCUGUCUUCUUGAGAGUAUGAGUUAAUUUCGGUCAUGAGUUU